UUUCCGUAGGUGAACCUGCGGAAGGAUCAUUAUUGUAUAACAGACGUCCGAGAGCUGUCGCUGACCCGAAAGGUCGUGCACGCCCGUGUGCCCUCACCCACAUCCAUCUCACCCCUAUGUGCACCACCGCGUGGGUCCCCCUUUGGCUUGUUCGGAGGGGGGCUUACGUUUUCACACAAACUUUGUAUGCAGUUUAGAAUGUAUUUUUUAUUUUUUCGAUCACGCGAUCAAUACAACUUUCAACAACGGAUCUCUUGGCUCUC
rnacentral:misc_RNA from 1 species